UCAGAAAGCAUUUUCUGCAUACUGCUGGUU
rnacentral:piRNA from 1 species